CAAGUCGAGGGGUAACGAUGGUGCUUGCACCAGGCGACGACCGGCGCACGGGUGAGUAACGCGUAUGCAACCUACCUUUAGCUGGAGGAUAGCCCGGGGAAACCCGGAUUAAUACUCCGUAAUAUCUUUUUGUCUCAUGACAUUUUGAUUAAAGCUCCGGCGGCUAUUGAUGGGCAUGCGUGCCAUUAGCUUGUUGGUGAGGUAACAGCUCACCAAGGCUACGAUGGCUAGGGGGUCUAAAAGGAUGAUCCCCCACACUGGUACUGAGACACGGACCAGACUCCUACGGGAGGCAGCAGUGAGGAAUAUUGGUCAAUGGGUGAUAGCCUGAACCAGCCAUGCCGCGUGCAGGAAGACAGCCCUAGUGGUUGUAAACUGCUUUUGUUCGGGAAGAAACCUCUCUACGUGUAGAGAGUUGACGGUACCGUUCGAAUAAGCAUCGGCUAACUCCGUGCCAGCAGCCGCGGUAAUACGGAGGAUGCAAGCGUUAUCCGGAUUUAUUAGGUUUAAAGGGUGCGUAGGCGGAAUUGUAAGUCAGAGGUGAAAUCCUGCGGCUUAACCGUAGAACUGCCUUUGAUACUACAGUUCUUGAGUACAGACGAAGUAGGCGGAAUGUGUAAUGUAGCGGUGAAAUGCAUAGAUAUUACACAGAACACCAAUUGCGUAAGCAGCUUACUAGACUGUCACUGACGCUGAUGCACGAAAGCGUGGGGAGCGAACAGGAUUAGAUACCCUGGUAGUCCACGCCGUAAACCAUGAUCACUCGUUGUUGGCGAUAAACUGUCAGCGACUGAGCGAAAGCAUUAAGUGAUCCACCUGGGGAGUACGUUCGCAAGAAUGAAACUCAAA
rnacentral:rRNA from 1 species